rnacentral:rRNA from 1 species
AUCGAAGCCCCAGUAAACGGCGGCCGUAACUAUAACGGUCCUAAGGUAGCGAAAUUCCUUGUCGGGUAAGUUCCGACCCGCACGAAAGGCGUAACGAUUUGGGCACUGUCUCAACGAGAGACUCGGUGAAAUCAUAGUACCUGUGAAGAUGCAGGUUACCCGCGACAGGACGGAAAGACCCCGUGGAGCUUUACUGUAGCCUGAUAUUGAAAUUCGGCACAGCUUGUACAGGAUAGGUAGGAGCCUUUGAAACGUGAGCGCUAGCUUACGUGGAGGCGCUGGUGGGAUACUACCCUAGCUGUGUUGGCUUUCUAACCCGCACCACUUAUCGUGGUGGGAGACAGUGUCAGGCGGGCAGUUUGACUGGGGCGGUCGCCACCUAAAAGGUAACGGAGGCGCUCAAAGGUUCCCUCAGAAUGGUUGGAAAUCAUUCAUAGAGUGUAAAGGCAUAAGGGAGCUUGACUGCGAGACCUACAAGUCGAGCAGGGUCGAAAGACGGACUUAGUGAUCCGGUGGUUCCGCAUGGAAGGGCCAUCGCUCAACGGAUAAAAGCUACCCCGGGGAUAACAGGCUUAUCUCCCCCAAGAGUUCACAUCGACGGGGAGGUUUGGCACCUCGAUGUCGGCUCAUCGCAUCCUGGGGCUGUAGUCGGUCCCAAGGGUUGGGCUGUUCGCCCAUUAAAGCGGUACGCGAGCUGGGUUCAGAACGUCGUGAGACAGUUCGGUCCCUAUCCGUCGUGGGCGUAGGAAAUUUGAGAGGAGCUGUCCUUAGUACGAGAGGACCGGGAUGGACAUACCUCUGGUGUACCAGUUGUCGUGCCAACGGCAUAGCUGGGUAGCUAUGUGUGGACGGGAUAAGUGCUGAAAGCAUCUAAGCAUGAAGCCCCCCUCAAGAUGAGAUUUCCCAACUUCGGUUAUAAGAUCCCUCAAAGAUGAUGAGGUUAAUAGGUUCGAGGUGGAAGCAUGGUGACAUGUGGAGCUGACGAAUACUAAUCGAUCGAAGACUUAAUCAA